rnacentral:rRNA from 1 species
CAUACGGGAGGCAGCAGUAGGGAAUCUUCCGCAAUGGAUGAAAGUCUGACGGAGCAACGCUGCGUGAGUGAUGAAGGCUUUCGGGUCGUAAAACUUUGUUGUUAGGGAAGAACAAGUACAAGAGUAACUGCUUGUACCUUGACGGUACCUCACCAGAAAGCCAUGGCUAACUACGUGCCAGCAGCCGCGGUAAUACGUAGGUGGCAAGCGUUAUCCGGAAUUAUUGGGCGUAAAGCGCGCGCAGGCGGUUUGUUAAGUCUGAUGUGAAAGCCCACGGCUCAACCGUGGAGGGUCAUUGGAAACUGGGGAACUUGAGUGCAGAAGAGAAAAGCGGAAUUCCACGUGUAGCGGUGAAAUGCGUAGAGAUGUGGAGGAACACCAGUGGCGAAGGCGGCUUUUUGGUCUGUAACUGACGGUGAGGCGCGAAAGCGUGGGGAGCAAACAGGAUUAGAUACCCUGGUAGUCCACGCCGUAAACGAUGAGUGCUAAGUGUUAGAGGGUCUCCGCCCUUCAGUGCUGCAGCUAACGCAUUAAGCACUCCCCCUGGGGAGUACGGUCGCAAGAAUGAAACUCAAAUGAAUUGACGGGG